UAAACAAAUAAAUUUACAAAAAAAAAGGCUCAAUGGUGCGUGGGGCCUGACAAGCCAGAUCUGAUUCCCCGGGCCACACAGGUAGGGGAGAACUGAUUCCCACAGCCAGACUUGCAUGUCAGAGAGGCCCCAGCUCCUCCCGCUUUCCUAACCCACGCUGGGGUUACAGGUUGCACUCCACCACACCUAACUUCUUAUGUGGGUACUGGGGCCUCCUCUUUGCAUAGCAAGCACUUUACCCAGGGGAGCCAUUGCUCCAGCCACGCCCCACCCCCCACCCCCAGCUAUGUAUUUUCAAGAGCUGCGUGUAGGUCGGGUAGGUGAGACGCCUGUGAGUCAGGACAGCAAGGCCUGUGCUACAGCCCACCUCUACGUAGAGCGGGCUCCCGUACCAGCCCAGGCCUUAACCGCCGUGGCCUCCCCCUCCCCCAGGCCCUUUGUUCUUCGCUACAGCUGCUCAGCAAAUUCCUUGAUUUUAAAUUAUGAUCACAGGUUGGAGAGCUACUUAAAAUAAUCUUGCCAAAUGUUCCAUCUCUGCGCUGAUGAAUACAGUGGAGGAGAAAUUUCAAGAGGGGGAGAGGAAAAAAAAAAACAUUAAGAAUUCACUUUGUUCAGGGGGAAAGGAAAAAAAAAAAAAAACAGUCACAGCUUUGGUUUACAUCUAAGGAUUCUCGCGCGCGCCCCCGCCCCGCCCCGGAAGUUGAUUGUGUGCUGACCUUCAGUGAGCCAGUGAGCCCUGUGCCAGCAAAGGUGGGAGAGGGAGCUGCUGGUGUGUAAGACCUGCUGCAGAUGCGGGGAGCAAAGAAAGGAUCCCUGGCCCUUGUUGGAGCCUCAGUUUUUUUCACCUGCUGAAUGGACACAGAUCUGUCCAACUCACUAGUUGAUUUCAAGGAUGAGACGAACCUGUCCCAUAGUCCUUGAAAGGAGUCUCUGGAGAAAUUUCUGGAAGGAGAAGACAGAAGCUACAUUUCAGCCACAUAAAUGACACGUGAUGCUGAUGUUGACGAAUGCUGCCCCACUGUUUAUUGAACACCACCAGCCCCUCUCAUCUGCUCCCUUAUUGGGUCCCAGAGCAACCUAGGAGGUUGGUUUAUUUGAUUCUGAUCUACUUUUAUUUCACAGCCAAGAAAACUGAGGCCAAAGAUGUCUGAAGUCAGAGCCAUUUAUCUUCCAUCCCCCGCAGGGGUGUCCACUGUGCCUGCCCCGGUCAUAAUGGCUUUCUGCUAAGGAUGUCACCACACCUUCUUGAUGGAGACUUGCCACCUGCCCUGGGCAACCAGCCCUUCUGAAAGCGAGCUCGAUUCCAAACUCAGGGUUAAUGAUAAAACUGAACAACGUAAGGCCUGGCCUUCCCUCUCCCUCUUUAUCAACAUGUGACUUAGGUUUGAGUGCCAAGCUAAACCUUUCAAGAGCCACAUCCUCGGCGGUGACUUAUUAAAGGGUAAAUCAAAGUUUGCUGGGAGAGAAAAGCAAAUACCCAAUACUCAGCAUGCCAGGCUGAUCCCGAGCCCACUUCCUGGUUCCACUGUUGACUUGGGCUGUAAUUCUAGAUAAGUGUGAAUACGUUCACCACCCUGGGCCCAGAGGGCAAGCCUGGGAAGAGAGCCCGGGACAGAGCCUGUCCCUGCCCCUUACACACACACACACACCAGGACCUGACAAGAAGCUGGCUCUCACGGUUUGCCUCAGAGGGGAAAACCUCAGACAAAAUCAAGGCAGGUACAGAGCUCUCUACACAGCCUCUUGUCCUUGUGUCUGUGUUUGUGAAGAAGUGGGUCACCCACAUGUCACGUCACCAAUAGAACCUUCCCGUCCUUUGGCUCUGCUCACCCAUAAUUAGCGGAACUGAGGAGGAGAGGAGCUGCACUUUGGGCCUCAGAUGGCAGGGCAGAGAAAUCAGAGCAAAGUUGACAAGAGUCAACCGUAAUCACAUAGUAAGUGUUUUUUUUUUUUUUUUUCAAAGAAACAAAUAAAAAACAGCCAGAAAGUGGGUCAGCGCUUACAGUAAGGUCAGAGGCAGGAAACUGGGACAAACUUCAAGUCCUGAGAGGAGAAACAGGAGUUGUGUUUUCUGAAUACAGACUUGUGCUAUCUUUGGGAUUUUACCCCCUGCUGAUGCUUUCUCCUUUGCCUCCUGAAUACACAGGGCCUUAGUUCCAAUACUCCAUCUUCCCAGAGGCUGAAGACAAAAGGCACUUAAAAAGACUUUACGGAGAUCCAGGCAUGGUAGUGUAUGCCUGUAACCCAGAAGCAGAGGGGGGAUCAGGAAUCAGGGGUCUUCCUCAGCUAUACAGCACUUUCCAGGGCAGCUUGGCUACAUAAAAUCUUGUCUCAAAAAAAAAAAAAAAA
rnacentral:sRNA from 1 species